UACAGAGGUCUCAAGCGUUGUUCGGAUUCAUUGGGCGUAAAGGGUGCGUAGGUGGCGCCAUAAGUCAGGUGUGAAAUCUCGGGGCUCAACUCGGAGUCUGCUGAGGAAACUGCCGUGCUUGAGUGUGGGAGAGGUGAGUGGAAUUCCCGGUGUAGCGGCGAAAUGCGUAGAUAUCGGGAGGAACACCUGUGGCGAAAGCGGCUCACUGGACCACAACUGACGCUGAGGCGCGAAAGCUAGGGGAGCAAACAGG
rnacentral:rRNA from 1 species